GUUUUCUUUUCGUGGCAGGGAACUGCAACAUCAAGUCAUGAAGAGGAAAAAUGGAAUGUAGCAUUUAAAGCAUUUGAAGUAGCCGUCACCAUUCUCGACA